CGGCACUGUCUUUGAACCUGUGUAGCAUUGCCAUGGCUCCUUGGGCCAAGCAACAGUGUCAGAACAAGUGAAGCUUGUUAUAACUGGGGCUUCAUGACAUCUCCUCCAAGUGGCUCUUUUAAACACAAUCUACUUUC